rnacentral:rRNA from 1 species
GACGUAGGGGGCGAGCGUUGUCCGGAAUUACUGGGCGUAAAGCGCGUGCGGGCGGCCUGGUAAGUCCCGUGUGAAAGCCUACGGCUCAACUGUAGGAGGUCGCGGGAUACUGCCGGGCUCGAGGGCAGGAGAGGGAAGUAGAAUUCCCGGUGUAGCGGUGAAAUGCGUAGAUAUCGGGAGGAAUGCCAGUGGCGAAGGCGGCUUCCUGGCCUGUCCCUGACGCUGAGACGCGAAAGCUGGGGGAGCGAACGGG